rnacentral:rRNA from 1 species
UACGUAGGUCCCGAGCGUUGUCCGGAUUUACUGGGCGUAAAGGGAGCGUAGGCGGACUUUUAAGUGAGAUGUGAAAUACUCGGGCUCAACUUGAGUGCUGCAUUUCAAACUGGAAGUCUAGAGUGCAGGAGAGGAGAAUGGAAUUCCUAGUGUAGCGGUGAAAUGCGUAGAGAUUAGGAAGAACGCCAGUGGCGAAGGCGAUUCUCUGGACUGUAACUGACGCUGAGGCUCGAAAGCGUGGGGAGCAAACAGG